rnacentral:pre_miRNA from 2 species
UAAAUACUCCUUUCGUCCGGAAUUAUUUAUCGCAUAAAUCUAUAAAAAUAAAUGUAUUUAGAACUAAAAUACAUCUAGAUAUAUCCAUUUCGAUGACAAGUAUUUUUCGGACGGAGGAAGUAUUAG